rnacentral:rRNA from 1 species
CCUACGGGAGGCUGCAGUCGAGGAUCUUCGGCAAUGAGCGAAAGCUUGACCGAGCGACGCCGCGUGCGGGAUGAAGGCCUUCGGGUUGUAAACCGCUGUCAGUGGGGAGGAAAUAUAGGUGGGAUCACCCACUUAUUUGACCUAUCCGCAGAGGAAGGACGGGCUAAGUUCGUGCCAGCAGCCGCGGUAAUACGGACCGUCCUAACGUUAUUCGGAAUCACUGGGCUUAAAGGGUGCGUAGGCGGCCUGGUAAGUUGCGUGUGAAAUCCCUCGGCUUAACCGAGGAAUGGCGCGCAAAACUGCCCGGCUUGAGGGAGACAGAGGUGAGCGGAACUUAGGGUGGAGCGGUGAAAUGCGUUGAUAUCCUAAGGAACACCGGUGGCGAAAGCGACUCACUGGGUCUUUUCUGACGCUGAGGCACGAAAGCUAGGGUAGCGAACGGGAUUAGAUACCCUAGUAGUC